UCUCUCUGGAAUUGACGAAGAUGAAGUCCAUGCAGCCGCGUCGCAAUUUCUUACGGGAGACGAUGAAGCCAAGCCUCCCCAGUCGCCAAACCCUAGCUCCGGCAAGCCUCCAAGGAGAAUGCGCCUCCGCCUACAGAUCUAACUCGUCAUCCUUUUUGAUUCUCACAGACAGAGAUUCCCAAAUCCUCCCUCUUUCUAUCAAGAAUCGAUUCACGACGACCCCUUUUUAUCCCGAUUCAAUUUCCCCAGGGGGAUGGCUGUGAUGGUGCAGCAGAUGGCUACGAUAGUGGCCUUUUUUGGUGUAUUGUCUUUCAUCUUCGGAAUUAUUGCGGAAAACAAGAAGGUAUUGUGUGUUAUGGGUCAAAUUGGUGAUUGUUAUAUCGGAAAGACUGAUACAUUUGUGCAUGUGUUCUAUUUUUUCCUUGUGUUACUUUGUGCAUCCUGAAAUUUGAUCCAUGAUAUUCUUCGGUUGUUAUUUGUGGAUGGUGGUUUGUUCGUUUAUUAGGGAUUACUAAUUAGUUAUUUUGAGUGUGUUCUAUCUCUGUGAGGUUGGAUUUUGUGUAAUUAUACACCUUUGCCUGAAGCAGGGCUUGUUUCCCAUGGCUUUAUUACAUCUGAGCAGUAAUAAUCUCAGAAAGGUAAUCAAUAUGUUAGUCUUUGCCUUCUAUUUCCUUGUAAUUGAGUAUUUACCUAAAAGCAUAAGCAUCCAUGUUAGGUAUUUUCUUACUGUUAAGUGUUGCACUCCAUUUAUAAUUCCAGAAUCCUGAGAUUGAUUUGCUGACUUUUUUUUUAUGUCAUAUAUUCUACAGACUUUACUGACUUCUUUUUAUGUCAUAUAUCAAACCAUUUAGGGGUUCAAAAAGGUUUUGUGGGAUGGUUCAAAGGAUUUGUGGGCUGGAAACUUUUUGAAAAUGGAAUUGAUCACCUCAUGUCUCAUUCUUUUUCUCCUAAAGAUGGUAUUGAGCAUGCUGGAACCCAAACUGUUGGGAAGAGUAAGGU